rnacentral:rRNA from 2 species
ACUGAGACACGGCCCAGACUCCUACGGGAGGCAGCAGUAGGGAAUCUUCCGCAAUGGACGAAAGUCUGACGGAGCAACGCCGCGUGAGUGAUGAAGGUUUUCGGAUCGUAAAGCUCUGUUGUUAGGGAAGAACAAGUGCAAGAGUAACUGCUUGCACCUUGACGGUACCUAACCAGAAAGCCACGGCUAACUACGUGCCAGCAGCCGCGGUAAUACGUAGGUGGCAAGCGUUGUCCGGAAUUAUUGGGCGUAAAGGGCUCGCAGGCGGUUUCUUAAGUCUGAUGUGAAAGCCCCCGGCUCAACCGGGGAGGGUCAUUGGAAACUGGGAAACUUGAGUGCAGAAGAGGAGAGUGGAAUUCCACGUGUAGCGGUGAAAUGCGUAGAGAUGUGGAGGAACACCAGUGGCGAAGGCGACUCUCUGGUCUGUAACUGACGCUGAGGAGCGAAAGCGUGGGGAGCGAACAGGAUUAGAUACCCUGGUAGUCCACGCCGUAAACGAUGAGUGCUAAGUGUUAGGGGGUUUCCGCCCCUUAGUGCUGCAGCUAACGCAUUAAGCACUCCGCCUGGGGAGUACGGUCGCAAGACUGAAACUCAAAGGAAUUGACGGGGGCCCGCACAAGCGGUGGAGCAUGUGGUUUAAUUCGAAGCAACGCGAAGAACCUUACCAGGUCUUGACAUCCUCUGACAACCCUAGAGAUAGGGCUUUCCCUUCGGGGACAGAGUGACAGGUGGUGCAUGGUUGUCGUCAGCUCGUGUCCUGAGAUGUUGGGUUAAGUCCCGCAACGAGCGCAACCCUUGAUCUUAGUUGCCAGCAUUCAAUUUGGGCACUCUAAGGUGACUGCCGGUGACAAACCCGGAGGAAGGUGGGGGAUGACGUCCAA